rnacentral:sRNA from 1 species
CUUGCCCAACAGAAGGUGGAAAAAGUCUUGGGAAAAAUUACUGAAAGUAAAAAUAAACUGGCCUAUGAAAAGGGAAAACUCCAGAUAAAAGUUAAACAGCUAGAAGAACAAGUACAAUCUUUUACUGACACCGGCUUACAGAAUGAUCAUCUACGCAAGAUGAAUAAGUCUCUACAGACUAAAUAUGCUCAGGUGUGAUUAAUAUCUACAAAAGCGGAUUGCUGCUAUAUUUCUUUUUUAAGAAAUUGUUUGAUGUCUUUUUCCCCACUUUACCAUACAAUCCCAGAAAGAUCAAUAUGCUGUCACUUGACUCAAUUUAACAAACUUUUUUUCAAGCACCUAGUACAUACAAGGUUCUGCUAAGCCUCAGAAAUUGUAAAGAUACCUGAAGCAGGAUUGAGACAUUCAACUUGCUUAUUAUAGUUAGGAAAUGUACUCCAUAAACUUUAUUAGAGAACACAAAGUUAUGCUUUUCAGAAAAAUAGUGUAUUACUGAACAUUCAUAGGGAGCAUUAUUAUGAGUAGAAGCAGUGAGAAAUGCUUUCAUAAAGGCAGUGCUUUUUAAACUUGAGCCUUACAAAUUUUGGCAGUUGUGAGGAACAAGUAUCUUUGUUUUUUGAAUUAAAGGCAAACUCAGAACUCAGGGCCAAGAGGGUACACCU